GAGUGUGCCAUUGCUGUAUGCGGAAAGCUGGGUGACGAAUCUCGAAAGCUUCGUCCUCCAUGGGGCCCCCUGCUACCACAGAUUUCCAGCUUUCCAACACAGUCGCGGAGAGAGCAUCAUUUCCAAUCGGUCUGCCCAAAACCCUGCUGCUGAGACUCUCCAGCCAAAGGGACUGCAUUCCCUUCCUGUCAUGAGGACCAUAUUAUCCUUUCCAAAUCAUUUUGCUGGCUUCCUCGUGGUUUCUGCAUUAGGGUACUGCAUGAUUCCACACAAGGCCUGGUAUUCUCCGAACAGUCGUUUUGUUUUUAAAGUUUCUUUCAAAGCAUUCUGCUGUGUGAGAAACCUACCCUCGAGCAUUCUGUUCACGCAGCUUUGGACUCUGAGCCGCUGGGAUUAACGUGAUAGAUUUUCUUCAGUGUCGAGAACAGACUUUGCCCUGGACCAGAACUCAGCUGGGGUUCUCUUAUUUCAGAGAAUUAAAGACACAAAUCCUGUAAACAAAAUGACAAGCAAAAGGAGCCUUUCUUCCUUUCUUGGAAUCAUUCAACAUUCGUGAAGGUGUGUGUUGCUGAAAGUAAACUGUUCAAAAUUUGGAUAAAGUCAUUUUGGAUUUUCUGAGAGAAGAUUUCAUAAUUUGAGGUUAACAAAAACCCAAACAAAUGUCAAUAUAUCAGCCCGUUGUGCUAGGUGGCUUCAUUGUUUUUUCAUUACAUCAGCUACAACAAGAAUUACAGUAUGUAAACCUUCAACAGACAAAUUCAAACAAAGGUUGUAAUGGAUCUCUAAUAAGAAACCAUUUGUGGAUAUGUGCUUUGAGACUUAUUAGCAGGAGC